rnacentral:lncRNA from 1 species
CGUGACAGCCCAAGGUAAAUUUCCUCAUUGGAAUCAGAUUAUUUAAUUAGAUGUCCUGGAACAGAGUGAAUUUCAGGAAAGUUUUUUUUUUUUUUUUUUUAACCCCUUAAGGACCAAACUUCUGGAAUAAAAGGGAAUCAUGACAUGUCACACAUGUCAUGUGUCCUUAAGGGGUUAAACAAUAUGUCAAUGUAUAAACAGACAAGGUGAAACAAAAAUGUAGAAAUUGGAAUCCUCUUUUGGAUGCAACCACAUUAUCAGGGACUUCAAGCCAUGUAGUGGUUAGGGAAGGAGAAUACAAUAGCAGAUCUCCUAAGCAAAAGCAAGCUGGAGCUGGGAGUAUGGCACUUAAAUUCCAAUAUCUUCAAACAAGUGUAUGCACUGACCACGACCGGUAGACUUGAUUGCCACGAAGAACAUGCAGGUCCUUUUCUUCUAAAGUAUACCAACCAAUAAUACAGUAGGAAGGGAGGUUUGCCAAGGAAGUGAAAUUUUAAGCAUUGUUAAGUUUUCACACCAGUUCACCUAAUGGCGAGAGUCUUGGAAGAAAAUCAUAAGAAUGUGACGGUAAUAGUUCUAAUUCAUUGGCCAAGAAGGCUGUGAUUUCCAAUUCUAAAAAGGGUAUUUAAGUCCCAUUGGCGAUACCACUGAUACAGAAUGUUCUGUUAAAGAAAAGAUUAUGCAUCCUCUAUUGCUACUUAAAGGAUCACUAUAGUGUCAAGAAAAAGUGGAAGACAGCCUCUAGAGGCUGGCUUAACCCUAAAUGUAAACAUAGCACUUUCUCUGAAACUGCUAUGUUUGCAUCUGAAGAGUUAAAACCUGAGGGACCUAGCACCCAGACCACUUCAUUGAGCUGAAGUGGUCUGGGUAACUAUAAUGUCCCUUUAAAGUAAAUGGAUGAGGUGUACAAUAUGCCAACUUAUUGUGCACAGAAAAUACAUUUAGAUGUAGCUUUUGAUUCAGAGAAUUAAUUUGCCCGAACUGCUUAAUUUUUUCCCUCCCUGUCAUAUUUUGGGUGUCAUAUUUAAUAUAAUUUGGGCACAAUAUAUUAUUAUUGCCAUUUAUAUAGUGCCAACAGAUUCCGUAGCGCUUUACAAUAUUACAUCCUGUUCCAAAUUAUUAUGCAAAUUCUAUUUAAGUGUCACAAAGACUAAAUAUUUUGUUUUUCAGUUUAACUCAUUGAUGGCAUUGUGUCUCAGGGCUCUUUUGAUAACUGAAAACAAUCUCGGACACCUGUGAUAAUUAGAUUGCCAGGUGAGCCCAAAUGAAAGAAAAACUACUAAAGGAGGGUGUUCCACAUUAUCAAGCAGAGCACCAUUUUCAUGCAACAUGGGGAAGAAAAAGGAUCUCUCUGCUGCUGAAAAGAGUGGAAUAGUUCAAUGCCUUGGACGAGGUAUGAAAACAUUCGAUAUUUCACGAAAACUUAAGCGUGAUCAUCGCACUAUUAAGAGAUUUGUGGCUGAUUCAGAGCACAGACGGGUUCGUGCAGAUAAAGGCACAUUGAGGAAGAUUUCUGCCAGAUCCAUGCAUCGGAUCAAGAGAGCAGCUGCUAAUAUACCAUUACAUAGCAGCAAACAGAUAUUUGAAGCUGUUGGUGCCUCUGGAGUCCCACGGACAUCAAGGUGUAGAGUCCUCCAGAGUCUUGCAACUGUGCAUAAACCUUCUAUUCGGCCACCACUAACCAAUGCUCACAAGCAGAAAUGGCUGCAUUGGGCAGAAAAAUACAUGAAGACUAAUUUUCAAACAGUCCUGUUCACUGAUGAGUGCCAUGCUACCCUGGAUGGUCCAGAUGGAUGGUUGGUGGACAGCCACCCUGUUCCAACAAGGCUGCGAUGUCAGCAAGGUGGUGGAGGAGUCAUGUUUUGGGCCGGAAUCAUGGGAAGAGAGCUGGUCGGCCCCUUUAGGGUCCCCGAAGGUGUAAAGAUGACCUCUGCAAAGUAUGUGGUGCUUAUGACUAACCACUUUCUUCCCUGGUACAGAAGGACGAACUAUGCUUUCCGUAAUAAAACCAUCUUCAUGUAUGACAAUGCACCAUCUCAUGCUGCAAAGAAUACCUCUGCAUCAAUGGCUGCUAUAAAAGGAGAGAAAGUCAUGGUGUGGCCUCCAUACUCCCCUGACCUCAAUCCUAUUG